AAUUCACAUUUAAAAAAAGAUCAAACGUCCGGCCAAAAAAAAAAAUCAAACGCUUGAUCUGAUAUAAAAUUGGCUUAUGCCCUCCACCAAAUGCCAAUAACUAACGUUGCCGAUAAUUUUCUAUAAAUAUGGCUUUUAGCACUGCAGGGAGAAGAUAUAAUCAGCCACAUGGUUUGCUCACGGGAAUUACUAUAGAUUACUAUCGAAAAUGUGCAAUGGCUAAAAGAGAAAAAAAAAAGGGAAGAAGAUAAAGAAAUAAACACAUAAGAUAUUCAAAUAAGAUGAGGUAUAUCUUGAUGAUCAUCAAAUUUUUACUAGGGAAUCUCUAUGAAUCGAAAGAAUUUUAAUUCAUUGUUAAUAUAUAUUGUAUUUGAUUACAGGUGAUGACAAAUGAAAUUGUACAUGAACUAUACAAAUAAACACAAUUUGAUGAUCAUGAACAUUAAUUAUGAUAUCUUAAGAUGUUUAGCCUUUUCUUCUAAUACAUAUUGUAUGAGAAACUAAAUUUUGAUAAAUAAAUAGAGGCUAUACAUAUUUCCCAUUUUUCCUCUUAAAUCCUGCA